GUAACAAGGUUUCCGUAGGUGAACCUGCGGAAGGAUCAUUACCGAGUGCGGGUCUUUAUGGCCCAACCUCCCACCCGUGACUAUUGUACCUUGUUGCUUCGGCGGGCCCGCCAGCGUUGCUGGCCGCCGGGGGGCGACUCGCCCCCGGGCCCGUGCCCGCCGGAGACCCCAACAUGAACCCUGUUCUGAAAGCUUGCAGUCUGAGUGUGAUUCUUUGCAAUCAGUUAAAACUUUCAACAAUGGAUCUCUUGGUUCCGGCAUCGAUGAAGAACGCAGCGAAAUGCGAUAACUAAUGUGAAUUGCAGAAUUCAGUGAAUCAUCGAGUCUUUGAACGCACAUUGCGCCCCCUGGUAUUCCGGGGGGCAUGCCUGUCCGAGCGUCAUUGCUGCCCUCAAGCCCGGCUUGUGUGUUGGGCCCUCGUCCCCCGGCUCCCGGGGGACGGGCCCGAAAGGCAGCGGCGGCACCGCGUCCGGUCCUCGAGCGUAUGGGGCUUCGUCUUCCGCUCCGUAGGCCCGGCCGGCGCCCGCCGACGCAUUUAUUUGCAACUUGUUUUUUUCCAGGUUGACCUCGGAUCAGGUAGGGAUACCCGCUGAACCUAAGCAUAUC
rnacentral:misc_RNA from 1 species